GCGGUUCACAACUCUGAGUGAACCGCUUCAGAUCAAGGGGCAAGGAACUCGACCGGAAGUUGAAGUCGGGUGGGGGCUGCCAUCUUUUAGCAGAACUUCACUUGCGUUAGCAUUCCCAUUGACUCCCAUUCAUUUUGGCGUCACUUUGACAGCGAAUAACUUUACAUCUGAGGCGUUUAAAGACUCUGUUUGUCCAUUAUUUAUUUCUAAAGAUACACAACAAUGUAUAAAGGGCUCCAUUACCUUCUAUGUUACAUUAUGGCCCCGUAGAAACAGUUUUUGUAAAAAAUAGGCUAACGAUUGCGUCAUAACCACUCGUCUCUCUGUCGCAUUACCGUACAGACAGGUGGAGAAGCUCGCAGGCAAUUAACUUAAUAUGGCGUACUGGCGUUACAUUUUAAAAUACUAUACAAAAUAAUUAAUCAGAAUACUUACUCCUGCUCACUCAUGACAAAGAACUCCCCGCUCAAGCUCACCGUCUCUGCAAGAUUAACGAUGGCAGUUUGCACGCACAGCUACUAGAAGAUUUACAUCUGUCAGACAGGUUGCUGACGUCGUCAAGCUUCGUUUGAGUCUGCGCGCCAGAAACGGAAGUGCUAAAAAACGCUAAAACUGGGCUUCAUUUGUCUCAAUUGAGUUCCAAUGGGGUCGCUGUGUCCAUUUCUUUUACUGUCUAUGGGUCCUAAGCGGACUCAAUUUCUCGGGCGGAUUCGAUUUCUUUUUCUGUCUAUGGAUUUCUCAUGACACCGGCCGCGCCUAUAUCCGUCUACGUCACGUUCUCAUUAAAUUUCAAACAGGAAGAAGCGUCAAGGAGACUGAAGUGAAGAAGUUUGUGUUGUUUUUAAUCGGUAAAAGAAGGAAAUAUUGUUUUGCGAUCGCCAGAAAGAAGAAGAAGUUGUUGUUGUUUUCUGUAUUUGCCAGUUGCCCAGAAGAGGAAGAAGUUAUCUGCCAUGGCUUAUCCUAAAGUCCAAACCUGAUCCAGAACAGUUCUGCCAUGAUGGGGGGAUUUGAAUGUUCUCUCUUACACUUCACCUAGAGAACCACAUAAGUCAUACAGUGGAGCAUGGAGGUUACUUCAUCUUAAAAUGAAUGGCCCAUGGAAGAUCAAUAAAACCAAGGUUGUCAGAGUCCACCAUCACAAACAGCCAGCAAGUACGGAAACUGUGAUGGGUCAAGAUGACAGUGAUAAGAAGAUCGAAGUGGAACUGAAGAGGAAGUUCGGAGAGGAACAUAAGGGACAUUGGUGUAGCAUGGUGCUGGGUUCAGAGCCACUGUGAGCUGUUCCAUGGAGAGGUGACAGAGCCUGAAUUUCUCCAGAUGGACGAAGAAAAACAGUCUGAUAUAAUCAAAGACUACCUGAAAGGAGAGACUGAGAAAGCAAGGGAUGCCUGUGUGUUUGUCUUUGACAAUCACGAGGAAAUGGAAACAUUCUUAUUAAAAUGUGUUGAUGAACAGGGGCUGAAAUUCAAUACCAUGUUUCUGGGAGUCAUUUAAUUUAUAAUCAUUUAUUUACUCUACAUUGUUGAAUAUUAUUGUUUUGUGAAAUAAAUAUAACAAUACCCAGUGAAACAA